rnacentral:tRNA from 1 species
GGAGGAAUACCCAAGUCCGGCUGAAGGGAUCGGUCUUGAAAACCGACAGGGGCUUAACGGCUCGCGGGGGGUUCGAAUCCCUCUUCCUCCG